rnacentral:lncRNA from 1 species
AUUAUAUACCAGUUAUGGUUUGAAACUGCUGCCCAUAUCGUUAUAUUAUCUGAGUGAAGUGUCUUUGCACAUAUUUCUUCUGACUUUUUCCAAUCUAGAAAAUGCAUAUUUUGUUUGUUUUCAUGUUCAUUGAAGAGAAUGUGACAUUCAUCAGACCACCAUUAAUUGUCAAUAUAAUAUUGGUCAUCAUGAAGAUUUGUCAGCACUUGUGCACACAAUAUUGCAAGCCAGCAUGGAAAUCCUGAAGCCCCAACUCAUGAAUCACUUGAAUAUGAUAGGAAUGAAUGCCAAUACCAUACAAAGUAAACUGAUUCUUUCUAUAUAUAAUUCUUUUGCCAUAUAUUAUUUGCUUUUCUUUGGAGAUUGGAGAACUUUUUCCAACACUCAAUUGAUAUUGUUGUUUGUUCUAGUGCUUGUAGUCAUCAAAAUUGUCCUGCAUUAUGAUUUGUCACUGAACCAAUUGUUCUGAGCAUUUCCAUCCAAUUUAAUAUAGUUUUCUCUAAUGGUGCUGAUAACUGAAAAAACCAAAACCAUUGCAUACAUUUGCCAGGGAUGGUCCAUCAUUAUAUAUUAUAUCUUAGCUUCUGAAAUAAUAUUUCACACUUCAGGUGCAUUGUUCUAUGGUAUAUUGUGG